rnacentral:rRNA from 1 species
AACGUCGGGGGCGAGCGUGUUCCGGACUUACUGGGCGUAAAGGGCGUGUAGGCGGCAAUGCAAGUCAGGAGUGAAACCCGCCGGCUUAACCGGCGGCCUGCUUCUGAAACUGCAUAGCUUGAGUGCAGGAGAGGGAAGUGGAAUUCCCAGUGUAGCGGUGAAAUGCGUAGAUAUUGGGAGGAACACCAGUGGCGAAAGCGGCUUCCUGGCCUGUAACUGACGCUGAGGCGCGAAAGCGUGGGUAGAACACAGGAGGAGAUACCCCCGUAGUCC